UGGGGAAUUUUGGACAAUGGGCGCAAGCCUGAUCCAGCCAUGCCGCGUGUGGGAAGAAGGCCUUCGGGUUGUAAACCACUUUUGUCAGGGAAGAAACGGCCUGAUCUAAUACAUUGGGUUAAUGACGGUACCUGAAGAAUAAGCACCGGCUAACUACGUGCCAGCAGCCGCGGUAAUACGUAGGGUGCGAGCGUUAAUCGGAAUUACUGGGCGUAAAGCGUGCGCAGGCGGCUUUGCAAGACAGAUGUGAAAUCCCCGGGCUCAACCUGGGAACUGCAUUUGUGACUGCAAGGCUAGAGUACGGUAGAGGGGGAUGGAAUUCCGCGUGUAGCAGUGAAAUGCGUAGAUAUGCGGAGGAACACCGAUGGCGAAGGCAAUCCCCUGGACCUGUACUGACGCUCAUGCACGAAAGCGUGGGGAGCAAACAGGAUUAGAUACCCACGUAGUCCCUGAGCGGGCUGGCAAGGCGCAU
rnacentral:rRNA from 1 species